UUGCCAUAUUUGGCAGCACAGAUACUAAAAUUGAAGUAUAACAAUAUUAGCAUGGCUCCUGUGCAAGGAUGACACACAAACUGGGGAUGCAUUCCAUAUUUUU